rnacentral:tRNA from 1 species
ACCUGGCUGGCUCAGGUGGUAGGGCAUGGGACUCUUGAUCUCAUGGUUGUGGGCUCAAGCCCCAGGCUGGGUG